AAAAAGUUUUUAUCUUUGCACUCGCAAAUCUGAAACACUGACAGAAGAGAUUUCGGAUGAAGCGAAAAGAAUAAAAGAUCAUUGAAAAUAAAAUAACAACCAAGUAAGAAAAACCAAAGCGUCAAUUUUAAAUUGAGUUGAGUUUAAGGAACACAAACAUACAAUGGAGAGUUUGAUCCUGGCUCAGGAUGAACGCUAGCGGGAGGCCUAACACAUGCAAGCCGAGCGGUAGAGAUUCUUCGGAAUCUUGAGAGCGGCGUACGGGUGCGGAACACGUGUGCAACCUGCCUUUAUCAAGGGGAUAGCCUUUCGAAAGGAAGAUUAAUACCCUAUAAUAUAUGAUUCGGCAUCGGAUUAUAUUGAAAACUACGGUGGAUAAAGAUGGGCACGCGCAAGAUUAGCUAGUUGGUGAGGUAACGGCUCACCAAGGCGACGAUCUUUAGGGGGCCUGAGAGGGUGAUCCCCCACACUGGUACUGAGACACGGACCAGACUCCUACGGGAGGCAGCAGUGAGGAAUAUUGGACAAUGGGUGGAAGCCUGAUCCAGCCAUCCCGCGUGUAGGAAGACGGCCCUAUGGGUUGUAAACUACUUUUAUCUGGGGAUAAACCUACUUACGUGUAAGUAGCUGAAGGUACCAGAUGAAUAAGCACCGGCUAACUCCGUGCCAGCAGCCGCGGUAAUACGGAGGGUGCAAGCGUUAUCCGGAUUUAUUGGGUUUAAAGGGUCCGUAGGCGGACUGAUAAGUCAGUGGUGAAAUCCGACAGCUUAACUGUCGAACUGCCAUUGAUACUGUUAGUCUUGAGUAAGGUUGAAGUGGCUGGAAUAAGUAGUGUAGCGGUGAAAUGCAUAGAUAUUACUUAGAACACCAAUUGCGAAGGCAGGUCACUAAGUCUUAACUGACGCUGAUGGACGAAAGCGUGGGGAGCGAACAGGAUUAGAUACCCUGGUAGUCCACGCCGUAAACGAUGAUUACUCGUUUUUGGGUUUUAGGAUUCAGAGACUAAGCGAAAGUGAUAAGUAAUCCACCUGGGGAGUACGUUCGCAAGAAUGAAACUCAAAGGAAUUGACGGGGGCCCGCACAAGCGGUGGAGCAUGUGGUUUAAUUCGAUGAUACGCGAGGAACCUUACCAAGACUUAAAUGGGAAAUGACAGAUUUAGAAAUAGAUCCUUCUUCGGACAUUUUUCAAGGUGCUGCAUGGUUGUCGUCAGCUCGUGCCGUGAGGUGUUAGGUUAAGUCCUGCAACGAGCGCAACCCCUGUCACUAGUUGCUAACAUUAAGUUGAGGACUCUAGUGAGACUGCCUACGCAAGUAGAGAGGAAGGUGGGGAUGACGUCAAAUCAUCACGGCCCUUACGUCUUGGGCCACACACGUGCUACAAUGGCCGGUACAGAGGGCAGCUACCUAGUGAUAGGAUGCAAAUCUCGAAAGCCGGUCUCAGUUCGGAUUGGAGUCUGCAACUCGACUCUAUGAAGCUGGAAUCGCUAGUAAUCGCGCAUCAGCCAUGGCGCGGUGAAUACGUUCCCGGGCCUUGUACACACCGCCCGUCAAGCCAUGGAAGCUGGGGGUACCUGAAGUCGGUGA
rnacentral:rRNA from 1 species